UAAAAAUUUACUCAAGGAGCUUUUAAAAAGUAUCAGUGCCUAGGACACAACACAGGUUAAUUGAAUAAGAACUUCGGGAGGAGACUCUAGCACCAACCAGAGAAAGCUGAAUACACUCCCUGGCCAGUUCCAUAGGAUGUUCCGAUUCCAGCUACUCGCCUCCAGUGUCCCCAGACAGCAGCCUCCGGCAGGGCUCACCUGGGACCUUCCGUUUUCUCAUCAUAAAUCCCCAGACCCCUGCCUUUGAGUCUCUGCUGGACACACACCCUGGAGCCCUGCCUUUGAGCCUCUGCUGGACACACACCCCGGACCCCUGCCGUUGAGCCUGUGCUGAACACUCGCAGUGGUGACCGACGCCCCCACCACAGCAAGCCCCGAAUACACAGCCUCUGUGUGUUCCCACUGAGUUGGUCUUUGUUUAUUUUCACACUUAAAUUACACACUAUAAAAAAACCACAGUUGUUAAUAUUGCCACCCAUCUCACCAAAAAAGCCUCUAUAUAUUGUAAAACUGUCAAGCUCAAGGUGAUGAAUAAAAGUGACCCAAAA
rnacentral:lncRNA from 1 species